AGAGUUUGAUCCUGGCUCAGGACGAACGCUGGCGGCGUGCUUAACACAUGCAAGUCGAACGGAAAGGCCCUUCGGGGUACUCGAGUGGCGAACGGGUGAGUAACACGUGGGUGAUCUGCCCUGCACUUUGGGAUAAGCCUGGGAAACUGGGUCUAAUACCGAAUAUGACCAUGCGCCUCCUGGUGUGUGGUGGAAAGCUUUUGCGGUGUGGGAUGGGCCCGCGGCCUAUCAGCUUGUUGGUGGGGUAAUGGCCUACCAAGGCGACGACGGGUAGCCGGCCUGAGAGGGUGACCGGCCACACUGGGACUGAGAUACGGCCCAGACUCCUACGGGAGGCAGCAGUGGGGAAUAUUGCACAAUGGGCGCAAGCCUGAUGCAGCGACGCCGCGUGAGGGAUGACGGCCUUCGGGUUGUAAACCUCUUUCAGCACAGACGAAGCGCAAGUGACGGUAUGUGCAGAAGAAGGACCGGCCAACUACGUGCCAGCAGCCGCGGUAAUACGUAGGGUCCGAGCGUUGUCCGGAAUUACUGGGCGUAAAGAGCUCGUAGGUGGUUUGUCGCGUUGUUCGUGAAAACUCACAGCUUAACUGUGGGCGUGCGGGCGAUACGGGCAGACUUGAGUACUGCAGGGGAGACUGGAAUUCCUGGUGUAGCGGUGGAAUGCGCAGAUAUCAGGAGGAACACCGGUGGCGAAGGCGGGUCUCUGGGCAGUAACUGACGCUGAGGAGUGAAAGCGUGGGGAGCGAACAGGAUUAGAUACCCUGGUAGUCC
rnacentral:rRNA from 1 species